AGCUAAUAGAUACCCGGGUAGUCCACGCCCUAAACGAUGUCUACUAGUUGUUGGUGGAGUAAAAUCCAUGAGUAAACGCAGCUAAACGCGUGAAGUAGACCGCCUGGGGAGUACGGUCGCAAGAUUAAAACUCAAAGGAAUUGAUGGGGGCCCGCACAAGCGGUGGAUUAUGUGGAUUAAUUCGAUGCAACGCGAAAACCUUACCUGGCCUGGACAUGCCACUAACGAAGCAGAGAUGCAUUAGGUGCCCGUAAGGGAAAGUGGACACAGGUGCUGCAUGGCUGUCGUCAGCUCGUGUCGUGAGAUGUUGGGUUAAGUCCCGCAACGAGCGCAACCCUUGCCAUUAAUUGCCAUCAUUUAGUUGGGCACUUUAAUGGGACUGCCGGUGACAAACCGGAGGAAGGUGGGGAUGACGUCAAGUCCUCAUGGCCCUUAUGGCCAGGGCUUCACACGUAAUACAAUGGUCGGUACAGAGAGUUGCCAACCCGCGAGGGGAGCUAAUCUCAGAAAGCCGAUCGUAGUCCGGAUUGUUCUCU
rnacentral:rRNA from 1 species